CGGACGGGUGAGUAACGCGUAAGAAUCUAACUUCAGGACGGGGACAACAGUUGGAAACGACUGCUAAUACCCGAUAUGCCGCAAGGUGAAACCUAAUUGGCCUGGAGAAGAGCUUGCGUCUGAUUAGCUAGUUGGUGGGGUAAAGGCCUACCAAGGCGACGAUCAGUAGCUGGUCUGAGAGGAUGAGCAGCCACACUGGGACUGAGACACGGCCCAGACUCCUACGGGAGGCAGCAGUGGGGAAUUUUCCGCAAUGGGCGAAAGCCUGACGGAGCAACGCCGCGUGAGGGAGGAAGGUCUUUGGAUUGUAAACCUCUUUUCUCAAGGAAGAAGUUCUGACGGUACUUGAGGAAUCAGCCUCGGCUAACUCCGUGCCAGCAGCCGCGGUAAUACGGGGGAGGCAAGCGUUAUCCGGAAUUAUUGGGCGUAAAGCGUCCGCAGGUGGUCAGCCAAGUCUGUCGUCAAAUCAGGUUGCUUAACGACCUAAAGGCGGUGGAAACUGGCAGACUAGAGAGCAGUAGGGGUAGCAGGAAUUCCCAGUGUAGCGGUGAAAUGCGUAGAGAUUGGGAAGAACAUCGGUGGCGAAAGCGUGCUACUGGGCUGUAUCUGACACUCAGGGACGAAAGCUAGGGGAGCGAAAGGGAUUAGAUACCCCUGUAGUC
rnacentral:rRNA from 1 species